rnacentral:lncRNA from 1 species
ACCAUGACAGUUUUCUUCUCAAUACACUUAUUAAUCGGCAAAUCUUCAUGACAAUUCUUUUGGAUGUAUUUAUUAUCUCCAUUUGGAUGAGGUAACUCUUCUUCUAAUUCACGCACAAGACUUUUAACACUCUCUAAAAGUUUGCUCAUGUUUGUAUUGUCCUUGGUUUCUGAUUCAACUAUCAAAGAUAUUCCUGACUGGAAUUUUGAAAGUAAAACGGUAUUUUGUUUAGAAACUAUUUUUCUAGUUUGUUCUUCAUCAAAUGAUAACGGAUAUGCUGUUGGCUGAAGCUCUGAAUGUUCCUCUUUCUGUGAAUUGAUGUCUUUGGAUGCAUACACAGAUCCAGUGGAUUCCGCUGAUAAGCAUGCAAGUUUCUCCAUCUCAAGAAAAUCAUCCAUGAGCUCUAAAUUACAAGAACUCCCAGCCUU